UACGUAGGUGGCAAGCGUUGUCCGGAUUUACUGGGCGUAAAGAGCGCGCAGGCGGUCGUUCAAGUCGCGUGUGAAAGCCCCCGGCUCAACUGGGGAGGGUCACGCGAUACUGAUCGACUCGAAGGCAGGAGAGGGUAGUGGAAUUCCCGGUGUAGUGGUGGAAUGCGUAGAUAUCGGGAGGAACACCAGUGGCGAAGGCGGUUACCUGGAGCUUUGCUGACGCUGAUGCGCGAAAGCGUGGGGAGCGAUCCGG
rnacentral:rRNA from 1 species